UUAGCCAGUCUCAGCCCAAAUGUAAAUACCUCCGCAACAAUGCCGACGAAUAACAGUACAGGAGCAGCAGGACCUUCUCGUCCUUCUACAACCGCUCCCACUGACGAAGCUAAUCCCGUGCUAUCAGCUGCGAGUAGGUGUCUCCUAGCUAUUGAUAGACAAUGGAAAGGAAAGGGUAAGAGGUCAGCGAAAGAAGAGGUUACCCGACUGUACAGCUCUACAAA